rnacentral:sRNA from 1 species
AUAGUGCGCAUGCUUGAGCCCACUUACCUAACACCUGAGAUCUUAUUGGGACGCUGCUGAUAACCAGUUUCAGAGACAGGGUUUCACCAUGUUGUACAGGCUAGUCUCCAACCCCUGGGCUUAAGCAGUCCUUCUGCCUCAGGCUCCCAAAGUGCUGGGAUUACAGAGAUGCUCAAGCACUGAAUUGUCUUAAGAAAACAAGUAAGGUUUUGUCACCUAUCCUAUUUCUCACUGCAAGCUGAAAAAAAUCAAAUCCAAACACCACCACCCCUUCUAUGACAACAAACGGCUGUGGAGGUAAAUGACUAUGUGGGCAAAGAGUUGAUGAAAAUCAUGAGCUUAGGGGCUUUAUGAAACUUUGGGAAAUCAAACUCAGAGGUUGUUUUCCAUUCUUAAAGUAAUGAAGCUCUAAGUUAAAGUUUCAGAAUCAUCACAUAACUGUUCCUAUUCCAUAACUCAUUUCUUUUUUUGCAGGUAAUCUUAUUUUUUUAAGGGUAGUUUCAUGAUGACAGUUUCAAAAAAUUACCGUGGAUAAAGAAAAAAUUGUCUCAAUGAAAUAGAAUUUUUCACUGAACACAGAAACCAUCUCAAUAGUUGCUGCUCCCUGGUUUCUAGGCCAUGCAACAGACAUCAAACUAGGAAGCCAAACUUUCACGGACCUGU